AUUGAACGCUGGCGGCAGGCUUAACACAUGCAAGUCGAGCGAGAGGCGGACGGGUGAGUAAUGUCUGGGAGACUGUCCGAAGGAGGGGGAUAACUACUGGAAACGGUAGCUAUUAUCGCAUACACUAAGAUGUGCCCAGAUGGGAUUUGCUAGUAGGUGGGGGAAAGGCUCACCUAGGCGACGAUCCCUAGCUGGUCUGAGAGGAUGACCAGCCACACUGGAACUGAGACACGGCCCAGACUCCUACGGGAGGCAGCAGUGGGGAAUGUUGGACAAUGGGCGCAAGCCUGAUGCAGCCAUGCCGCGUGUAUGAAGAAGGCCUUCGGGUUGUAAAGCACUUUCGGCAGGGAAGCGUUACCCGCAGAAUAAGCACCGGCUAACUCCGUGCCAGCAGCCGCGGUAAUAC
rnacentral:rRNA from 1 species